UAUUGGUCAAUAGCCUAACCGGCUGAACCAGCAACUUGGAGGAAUGGAUAGGGUAAGCCGGUAAAAGGCAAUGUACCUAGUAGUAUUAGAAAUGAAUAUGAGAUUAACGAAGUUAAUUAAAAUUCGAAGUAGAUAAAUGAUUAUGACAAUAUCUGCUGAUGUCUUGACCAAGUCACGUGCCAGCAGUCGCGGUAAUACGGAAGAUAAGCGUUAUUCAUCUUUAAUAGGUUUAAAGGGUACCUAGACAGUUAAUUAAGCAAGAAAUUGUACUAAUUUUAAACUAGAGUUUAAUGUAGGAAGGGUCAGUACGAUGCGGAGUAGAGAUAAAAUUCUUUGAUACUCAUGGGGACUGGUAAAGGCGAAGGCAACCUUUUAUGUAAAAACUGACGUUAAGGGACGAAGGCUCAAGGAGAAAAAAGAGGAUUAGAUACCCUCGUAUAGUGGGCAGACAAUGAUGAGUGUCAUAUGUAAGAUUUAUGUAUAAAUGAAAGUGUAAGCACUCCACCUCAAGAGUAACGUGGCAACAUGGGAACUGAAAUCAUUAGGCCGUUUUUGAAACCCGUAGUGAAGUAUGUUGUUUAAUUUGUAGGUACGCAAAUAACCUUACCACAAUUUGUAUAGCUUGUACAAGCGUUGCACGGCUGUUUUUAGUCAAUGUUGUGAAACUUUGGUUAGGUCCAUUAAAUUGAUGUAAGCCCUUACUUUAUUUAAUAAAAAGUAGUUCGCCGCUGUAUUGGUAGCGAUAUAAGGGACUAAGAC
rnacentral:rRNA from 1 species